CGCUGACAAUCCAAAUUUUUUUAGGUGAAGUGCAUAUACAUAUUCUGUUUAGUAGUUUAAAUCAACUAGAGCAGUGGUUCUUAAAGGUAAAUCACCGACAUAUAAGAUGCAGUCCAUCGUAAUGACAAACAAAAUACCGUUGGUUCGAUGGCAACUAAACUUUCUAUGGUAAAUUGAAUAUAAAGCAACUGUACCAGUAAUUUCUUCAUGGCUGUUUCACUAAGACGAUUGCAAACAAUCUUUAACCAUUGUGAUGAAGACAAAAAGGGAUUUCUGAACCGCGAAGAUUUGAAAGUAGCAAUGUUAAUUCUAUUUGGCUAUAAGCCAUCUAAAUAUGAGAUACAGCAACUACUAGAUGAUGGAGAGGGCAAUAAAAAACUCAUGAAUUUCGAGACUUUUAAAUCAAUCAUGGCGGCAAGCAAGCAUGACCCUGACCAUGAGAUACGUGACAUAUUUCGCAUGUUUGACACUCACUGUCGGGGCUUUCUCAUUUUCGAUGAUGUAAAAAAAGCAUUUCAUGCAGUAGCUCCUCAUAUAUCUGACGCCACAAUACGUGCUUGUUGUGAGGAGAUGUGUAGGGAGUCUGAUGGUAGAAUCAGCUAUCGGGAGUUUGCUGAAGCAAUGAGGCAUGGCCAUGUACAUAUGGAACACCAUGAAAAUUAUGAUCACUUUUUUAAUUCAAAUGUGUGUUUUAGUUAAAAUGUUAACUUUUUCACAAAUAUGUUAAAGCAUUACUUAAUACUACUUUACUGCAUAUAUUUUUUUUUAUUUGUAAACAAACAUUUGUAUUUUAUUUUUAUGAAGUUGCACUUUAUCGAUUGGUUUUAACAGUGUGAAAUGUUUAUUUGCAUAAAAUACUUUUAAGAGUAGCAAGCUUCGCACAGAGUAUCAUAUUCAAACUGGAAGCAAUCAAAGAGACCAUAUAACUUCCUGGUAAAAUAUAGACGCUUUGGAGUGGGAACACAACAGGAAAGAAUACGAAGAUUAAGAAACAAACGCCGACUUUAGACAAAGUGAUAUAUACAAUCACUUAUUUAAGCAGUACUGUAAUUUAAAACAGUGGUGUAUAUAUAUUAGCACUUUAUGGUAUAUGCCACUGCCAGGGAGAGAGAAAAAGGUUUCGGACAGUUCGUUCGUGGGUUUUCCCCUUUUACAUUUCCCCUUGUUUGUUUACCAUCGCUUGGUCGAUGUCAUAAAACACUAGUGAAUCGUUUUUACAGUACUCUCUUGUGCUUGUGUCAGCUAGGUUUUUUUUGUCAAAUUUCCACAAAAAGUUGCAGUCUGAUUUCCAAAAGAGCUUUAUUAGACUUAUAACAUGGCAGUAACACAAGUUUCAUGUAAAAUCACUCUUUGGCAAUUUAUUAACAGUAUAAAAACGCUAAAACGAUAGUCUUCAAAACAACUAGCUGAUUUAAAUUCCAGAAACGAUAAAAUCACUUAAUUUCUUAGUGCUUGUCAGGAAAUGCUUGUCUUUCUGUCAUGUUUUUCCUCAUUAAGUAAUUUAUACAGCUGACAUUAUUAACUUCAUGCUGCAUUUAUACCAUAUGUUUGAGUCUGUAUGAGAUUUUGCUUUUCUGUCUUGUUCAUGUUAUAGUAAAAUAAUUACCACACAAGGCAGAGCAGUUAGUUCAUAAGGUAUGAACGCACACAGUUAUAAAAUCAGAGAUGCAUUGCAAAGAAUUAAGUUCAAAAUAUUUAAAUUAAAUUAGAUAAAAAAGAUAUUCAAUAUUUUUUCACUUUUUAUUUGAAAGAUAUUUUUAAUUAUUGUUGCGCUUGCGCAAAUAUGGUAAUUGAAGUGAAUAUAUCAAGAUCUUAAGACUUAUUUAGGAAUCUGUAGGUUUUAAAGUAUGUGGAAAUGGAAAAACAGUUUUAUACCUGUUUUCAUAUUACUGGGUCUUGGGUUUCUUGGAGAUUGUACAUCAAACCAGGAUCGAGUGACGAAAAGAUUUACACGAACAAAAAAUGGAAAACAUAUUGAAUUAUCCGUUUUUACAGUACUCUCUUGUGCUUGUGUCAGAAGAAAUCGUGGGUUUGUUAAAUAAGGAAAACUGUGAGCAGUACUGUGGAAGCGGGGCGCCCACAAAGGGGGUUUUAACGCCGGAGACAAUUACCAAAGUAGUGACUCAUAGGAGUUUCAUAUUUAAAACUGUUCGUUGCGCGUAAUCGUCAAUGAAACGCGGGUUUUGUAAACGUCGCAAACAA